UAGAGGCCUUCACUUCAGUUCCUUGAU
rnacentral:piRNA from 1 species